rnacentral:RNase_P_RNA from 1 species
CCAGAGGGCCAGGUGGCCGCUCCGACCGCGAGGUUGGGGAGGAAAGUCCGGGCUCCACGGAGACACGGUGCCGGGUAACGCCCGGCGGGGGCGACCCCAGGGACAGUGCCACAGAAAACAGACCGCCCAGCCUCGGCUGGGUAAGGGUGAAACGGGGCGGUAAGAGCGCACCGCGCGACGGGCAACCGGAGCGGCACGGCAAACCCCACCGGGAGCAAGACCGAAUAGGAGCGCCGCGUCCGGCGUGAGUCGGACAGGCCCGUUUCCGGGCCAGGCGCUCGGGUUGGUCGCGCGAGGCGUCCAGCAAUGGACGUCCCAGAGGAAUGGCCAUCGCCCGCGGGCUUAGGCUCGCGGGUACAGAACCCGGCUUAUCGGCCCUCUGGCGCA